rnacentral:rRNA from 1 species
AGAGUUUGAUCUUGGCUCAGAACGAACGCUCUCGGCGUGCCUCUCACAUGCAAGUCGAACGAGAAAGUCCACUUUGGUGGAUCUGUCUCUUGGCGCACGGGUCUGUCUCGCGUGGGUCUUCUACCCUGGAGUCAGGGAUCUCACCUCGAAAGGGGUGCUCUUACCGGAUCUCAUCCCUCUCUCCCCGGUCUUCUGGAUCAAAGAUGGCCUCUGCUUGCAAGCUGUCGCUUCAGGAUCUGCCCGCGUACCAUUCUCUCUUUGGUCUGGUCUUGGCCUACCAAGGCUACGAUGGUUCUCUGGUCUCUCUGGAUGGCCAGCCACACUGGAACUGGGACACGGUCCAGACUCCUACGGGAGGCAGCAGUCUGGAAUCUUGCGCAAUGGGGGCAACCCUCUCGCAGCAACGCCGCGUCUGUCUCUAAGGCCUUCGGGUCGUCUCUCUCUGUCAGAUGGGAAGAAAACUCUGCCUGCGAAUCUCAGGUGGAGUUCUCGGUACCAUCAAAGGAAGCACCGGCUCUCUCCGUGCCAGCAGCCGCGGUCUUACGGAGGGUGCAAGCGUUGUUCGGAAUUACUGGGCGUCUCUCUCGUGUCUGCGGUCUCUUCUGUCAGAUGUCUCUUCCCUUGGCUCAACCAAGGAAGGGCAUUUCUCUCUGCUCUACUUCUGUACGGGAGGGGGAAGCGGAAUUCCCGGCGUCUCUGUCUCUUUCGUCUAUAUCGGGAGGAACACCGGUGGCGAAGGCGGCUUCCUGGACCGAUACUCUCGCUCUCUCGCGAAAGCGUGGGGAGCAAACAGGAUUCUAUACCCUGGUCUUCCACGCUGUCUACGGUGGGCACUCUGUGUUGUGGGUAUUCUCCCCUGCAGUGCCGAAGCUCUCGCAUUCUGUGCCCCGCCUGGGGAGUACGGCCGCAAGGCUCUCUCUCAAAGGAAUUCUCGGGGGCCCGCACAAGCGGUGGAGCAUGUGGUUCAAUUCGACGCAACGCGAAGAACCUUACCUGGGUUUCUCUUCCCGAGAAUCCCGCAGAAAUGUGGGAGUGCCUCUUUCUGGAACUCGGUCUCAGGUGCUGCAUGGCUGUCGUCAGCUCGUGUCGUCUCUUGUUGGGUUCUGUCCCGCAACGAGCGCAACCCUCGCCUUUCUUUGCCAGCAUUCUGUUGGGCACUCUCUCUGGACUGCCGGUGUUCUACCGGAGGAAGGUGGGGAUCUCGUCAAGUCCUCAUGGCCCUUAUGCCCAGGGCUACACACGUGCUACAAUGGCCGAUACAAAGGGCUGCGAACCCGCGAGGGGGAGCUCUUCCCAAAAAGUCGGCCUCAGUUCGGAUCGGAGUCUGCAACUCGACUCCGUCUCUCUGGAAUCGCUCUUCUUCGCGGAUCAGCAUGCCGCGGUCUAUACGUUCCCGGGCCUUGUACACACCGCCCGUCACACCACGAAAGUUCUUUGUA